AAAGCAGGUUGCAAUUACAGUGCUUCAUGUCUGUGGAAGUACUGCCAUUACCCUGCUGAGAGAAAACCUGUGUCAAUC
rnacentral:snoRNA from 1 species